AACGCACAUUGCGCUCUCUGGUAUUCCGGAGAGCAUGCUUGUUUGAGUAUCAGUAAAACACCCUCAGCUCUCUCGUUUCUCCUGUGAAAAGGAAGGCGAGGGAACUGGACUUGAGUGAUCCCAACGGCAGUUUGAUUGUAAAAGAAAACCGCUGGCGGGUCGCUUGAAAUGCAGGUGCGGCUGGACACAUCUUCUGAGCUAUAAGCAUUACUUAUUUAAUCCCGUUAAACGGAUUAUUUCUAUUGCUGCAGCUAACAUAAAGGUUGAUUGUCCUUGUGCCCGACUGAUGCAGGAAAACAAAGAGACAAUCUUUGUUCAACUCGAUCUCAAAUCAAGUAAGACUACCCGCUGAACUUAA
rnacentral:misc_RNA from 1 species